rnacentral:rRNA from 1 species
UAGGGAAUCUUCCGCAAUGGGCGAAAGCCUGACGGAGCAACGCCGCGUGAGUGAUGAAGGUCUUCGGAUCGUAAAACUCUGUUAUUAGGGAAGAACAAAUGUGUAAGUAACUAUGCACGUCUUGACGGUACCUAAUCAGAAAGCCACGGCUAACUACGUGCCAGCAGCCGCGGUAAUACGUAGGUGGCAAGCGUUAUCCGGAAUUAUUGGGCGUAAAGCGCGCGUAGGCGGUUUUUUAAGUCUGAUGUGAAAGCCCACGGCUCAACCGUGGAGGGUCAUUGGAAACUGGAAAACUUGAGUGCAGAAGAGGAAAGUGGAAUUCCAUGUGUAGCAGUGAAAUGAGCAGAGAUAUGGAGGAACACCAGUGGCGAAGGCGACUUUCUGGUCUGUAACUGACGCUGAUGUGCGAAAGCGUGGGGAUCAAACAGG